rfam:Triticum aestivum genome assembly, contig: Triticum_aestivum_CS42_TGACv1_scaffold_513584_6BS
UUGCUACUAUUCCGUCCCGAAUUACUAGUCUUAGAUUUGUCUAAAUAAAGAUGUAUCUAGACACGUUUUACAGUUAGAUACAUCCGUAUCUAGACAAAUUUAAGGCAUGUAAUUUGAGACGGAGGUAAUAUUUG